rnacentral:rRNA from 1 species
CCUACGGGUGACAGCAGUGGGGAAUAGUGGGCAAUGGGCGCAAGCCUGACCCAGCAACGCCGCGUGAAGGAAGAAGGCUUUCGGGUUGUAAACUUCUAUUCGCAGGGACGAAGCAAGUGACGGUACCUGAGGAAUAAGCGACGGCUAACGACGUGCCAGCAGCCGCGGUAAGACGUAGGUGGCAAGCGUUCUCCGGAUUUACGGGGUGUCAAGGGCGAGGAGGCGGGAAAGCAAGUCAGAGGUGCAAACCCGGGGCUCACCCGGUGGCCUGCCUUUGAAACUGUUUUUCUUGUGGACUGGGGAGGCAGCCGGAAUUCCUAGUGUAGCGGUGCAAUGCGUAGCUAUUAGGCGGAACACCAGUGGCGCAGGCGGUCUGCUGGACAGCACCUGACGCUGAGGCUC